CAGUCGCCGCGGGAAUACGGAGGGAGCUAGCGUUGUUCGGAAUUACUGGGCGUAAAGCGCACGUAGGCGGCUUUGUAAGUUAGAGGUGAAAGCCUGGAGCUCAACUCCAGAAUUGCCUUUAAGACUGCAUCGCUUGAAUCCGGGAGAGGUGAGUGGAAUUCCGAGUGUAGAGGUGAAAUUCGUAGAUAUUCGGAAGAACACCAGUGGCGAAGGCGGCUCACUGGACCGGCAUUGACGCUGAGGUGCGAAAGCGUGGGGAGCAAACAGGAUUAGAUACCCGAGUAGUCCCUGUCUCUUAUAA
rnacentral:rRNA from 1 species